rnacentral:rRNA from 1 species
UACGUAGGGGGCUAGCGUUGUCCGGAUUUAUUGGGCGUAAAGAGCGUGUAGGCGGCCAUGUAGGUCCGGUGUGAAAACUCGAGGCUCAACCUCGAGAUGUCGGCGGAAACCGUCUGGCUAGAGUCCGGAAGAGGAGAGUGGAAUUCCUGGUGUAGCGGUGAAAUGCGCAGAUAUCAGGAAGAACACCUAUGGCGAAGGCAGCUCUCUGGGACGGUACUGACGCUGAGACGCGAAAAGCGUGGGGGAGCGAACAGG